UGGGGAAUAUUGCGCAAUGGGCGAAAGCCUGACGCAGCGACGCCGCGUGAGGGAUGAAGGUUCUCGGAUCGUAAACCUCUGUCAGGGGGGAAGAAACCCCCUCGUGUAAAUAAUGCGAGGGCUUGACGGUACCCCCAAAGGAAGCACCGGCUAACUCCGUGCCAGCAGCCGCGGUAAUACGGAGGGUGCAAGCGUUAAUCGGAAUCACUGGGCGUAAAGCGCACGUAGGCGGCUUGGUAAGUCAGGGGUGAAAUCCCACAGCCCAACUGUGGAACUGCCUUUGAUACUGCCAGGCUUGAGUACCGGAGAGGGUGGCGGAAUUCCAGGUGUAGGAGUGAAAUCCGUAGAUAUCUGGAGGAACAUCGGUGGCGAAGGCGGCCACCUGGACGGUAACUGACGCUGAGGUGCGAAAGCGUGGGUAGCAAACAGGAUUAGAUACCCUGGUAGU
rnacentral:rRNA from 1 species